rnacentral:rRNA from 1 species
UAUGUAGGGGGCAAGCGUUGUCCGGAUUCAUUGGGCGUAAAGAGCGUGUAGGCGGCCAGGUAGGUCGGUUGUGAAAACUGGAGGCUCAACCUUCAGACGUCGACCGAAACCAUCUGGCUAGAGUCCGGGAGAGGAGAGUGGAAUUCCUGGUGUAGCGGUGAAAUGCGCAGAUAUCAGGAAGAACACCCGUGGCGAAAGCGGCUCUCUGGAACGGUACUGACGCUGAGACGCGAAAGCGUGGGGAGCGAACAGG